rnacentral:rRNA from 1 species
GGGGGGGGGGGGGGGGGGGGGGGGGGGGGGGGGGGCGGGGGGGGGGGGGCGGGGGGGGGGGGGGGCGCGAGGGGCGAGCGGGGGGGUAACACGGGAGUAACCUGCCCUUGACUUUGGGAUAACUUCAGGAAACUGGGCUAAUACCGGAUAGGAGCUCCUGCUGCAUGGUGGGGGUUGGAAAGUUUCGGCGGUUGGGGAUGGACUCGCGGCUUAUCAGCUUGUUGGUGGGGUAGUGGCUUACCAAGGCUUUGACGGGUAGCCGGCCUGAGAGGGUGACCGGCCACAGUGGGACUGAGAUACGGCCCAGACUCCUACGGGAGGCAGCAGUGGGGAAUAUUGCACAAUGGGCGGAAGCCUGAUGCAGCAACGCCGCGUGCGGGAUGACGGCCUUCGGGUUGUAAACCGCUUUCGCCUGUGACGAAGCGUGAGUGACGGUAAUGGGUAAAGAAGCACCGGCUAACUACGUG